UAAGACGGAGGGUGCUAGCGUUGUUCGGAAUUACUGGGCGUAAAGGGCGCGUAGGCGGCCCUUGGAGUCGGAUGUGAAAGCCCGGGGCUCAACCCCGGAACGGCAUCCGAUACUCUUGGGCUCGAGACCGGGAGAGGAGGGUGGAAUACCCAGUGUAGAGGUGAAAUUCGUAGAUAUUGGGUGGAACACCGGUGGCGAAAGCGGCUCUCUGGCCCGGUUCUGACGCUGAGGCGCGAAAGCGUGGGGAGCAAACAGGAUUAGAUACCCUGGUAGUCCACGCCCUAAACGAUGUGCGCUGGACGUUGGCGGGCUUGCCCGUCGGUGUCGGAGCUAACGCGGUAAGCGCACCGCCUGGGGAGUACGGCCGCAAGGUUA
rnacentral:rRNA from 1 species